GACCCCAUGCCGAACUCAGAAGUGAAACGCCGUAGCGCCGAUGGUAGUGUGGGGUCUCCCCAUGCGAGAGUAGGGAACUGCCAGGC
rnacentral:rRNA from 51 species